rnacentral:rRNA from 1 species
CCUACGGGGGGCAGCAGUGGGGAAUAUUGGACAAUGGGGGGAACCCUGAUCCAGCCAUGCCGCGUGUGUGAAGAAGGCCCUCGGGUUGUAAAGCACUUUCAGUGAGGAAGAACGCCUGGUGGUUAAUACCCAUCAGGAAAGACAUCACUCACAGAAGAAGCACCGGCUAACUCCGUGCCAGCAGCCGCGGUAAUACGGAGGGUGCGAGCGUUAAUCGGAAUUACUGGGCGUAAAGCGCGCGUAGGUGGCUUGAUAAGCCGGUUGUGAAAGCCCCGGGCUCAACCUGGGAACGGCAUCCGGAACUGUCAAGCUAGAGUGCAGGAGAGGAAGGUAGAAUUCCCGGUGUAGCGGUGAAAUGCGUAGAGAUCGGGAGGAAUACCAGUGGCGAAGGCGGCCUUCUGGACUGACACUGACACUGAGGUGCGAAAGCGUGGGGAGCAAACAGGAUUAGAUACCCUUGUAGUC